CGUCCGCUCUGGGUUAGUCGGGUCCUAAGCUGAGGCCGACAGGCGUAGGCGAUGGAUAACAGGUUGAUAUUCCUGUACCACCAUGAUUCGUUUUAAGCGAUGGGGGGACGCAGUAGGAUAGGCGAAGCGUGCUGUUGGAGUGCACGUCCAAGCAGUGAGAUUGAGUGUUAGGCAAAUCCGGCACUCUUAAGAUUGAGCUGUGAUGGGGAGAGGAACUUGUUCCUCGAGUCGUUGAUUUCACACUGCCGAGAAAAGCCUCUAGCUAGAAUAACGGUGCCCGUACCGCAAACCGACACAGGUAGUCAAGAUGAGAAUUCUAAGGUGAGCGAGCGAACUCUCGUUAAGGAACUCGGCAAAAUGACCCCGUAACUUCGGGAGAAGGGGUGCUCUUUGAGGUUCACGCUUCGAAGAGCCGCAGUGAAUAGGCCCAAGCGACUGUUUAUCAAAAACACAGGUCUCUGCUAAACCGUAAGGUGACGUAUAGGGGCUGACGCCUGCCCGGUGCUGGAAGGUUAAGAGGAGUGGUUAGCGCAAGCGAAGCUACGAAUCGAAGCCCCAGUAAACGGCGGCCGUAACUAUAACGGUCCUAAGGUAGCGAAAUUCCUUGUCGGGUAAGUUCCGACCCGCACGAAAGGCGUAACGAUUUGGGCACUGUCUCAACGAGAGACUCGGUGAAAUCAUAGUACCGGUGAAGAUGCCGGUUACCCGCGACAGGACGGAAAGACCCCGUGGAGCUUUACUGUAGCCUGAUAUUGAAAUUCGGUACAGUUUGUACAGGAUAGGUAGGAGCCUUAGAAGCGUGAGCGCUAGCUUACGUGGAGGCAUUGGUGGGAUACUACCCUAAUUGUAUUGGAUUUCUAACCCGCAGCACUUAUCGUGCUGGGAGACAGUGUCAGGCGGGCAGUUUGACUGGGGCGGUCGCCUCCUAAAGAGUAACGGAGGCGCUCAAAGGUUCCCUCAGAAUGGUUGGAAAUCAUUCAUAGAGUGUAAAGGCAUAAGGGAGCUUGACUGCGAGACCUACAAGUCGAGCAGGGUCGAAAGACGGACUUAGUGAUCCGGUGGUUCCGCAUGGAAGGGCCAUCGCUCAACGGAUAAAAGCUACCCCGGGGAUAACAGGCUUAUCUCCCCCAAGAGUUCACAUCGACGGGGAGGUUUGGCACCUCGAUGUCGGCUCAUCGCAUCCUGGGGCUGUAGUCGGUCCCAAGGGUUGGGCUGUUCGCCCAUUAAAGCGGUACGCGAGCUGGGUUCAGAACGUCGUGAGACAGUUCGGUCCCUAUCCGUCGUGGGCGUAGGAAAUUUGAGAGGAGCUGUCCUUAGUACGAGAGGACCGGGAUGGACAUACCUCUGGUGUACCAGUUGUCGUGCCAACGGCAUAGCUGGGUAGCUAUGUAUGGACGGGAUAAGUGCUGAAAGCAUCUAAGCAUGAAGCCCCCCUCGAGAUGAGAUUUCCCAACUUCGGUUAUAAGAUCCCUCAAAGA
rnacentral:rRNA from 1 species